ACGGUGUCUCGCUCUUGUUGCCCUGGCUGGAGUGCAGUGGCGUGAUCCCAGCUCACUGCAACCUCUGCCUCCUGGGUUCAAGGGAUUCUCCUAUCUCAGCCUCCUGAGCACCUUUUAACUUGAUCAUUUGUUUUGUUCCAGGAACAGUUUACAUCUGUGCUUAUUAACUUACUUUAAGCCUGCUCCCAUCGUCCACGGAAAUUUUUUUGAGGCUUUAAUUUCUUUAUCUGGCAAUGACAUUUUUAUUAUAAAAUUUCAUUUUGCAUUAUUAAAAGUAUUUAUUUUUAAAAAAUGUGUUCCAAGUGUAAAGUGUGCUUGUGCCCUUGGAGACUCUGGUACACCUUCUCCCAAAUCUGCCCCUACCUUUGCUAUUGAUUGUCGUUCACAAGGCAGUUGUGCAGGAUAUUAAGAAAUAGUUCUUGUCAUUGAUGAAUUUACAGUUUAGUAUGGGAGUCAGAUAAAUAACCGAGUCUCUGCCUGUCUCAUGAGAUGGACCAUCCCAAGAAUAUUUCCCUUUCAUCACCUUCUUUCUUUCAUGGUAAUAAUUUCUUCAGUAACAUAAUUAGGUAGCAAGUAUGUUUAUCUGGAGUCACCUUGUUACUGGAUUGGCUUAUUUGCUUACUUUCUCACACUCUCCCACCAGAAUAUGUGCUCCAGGAGAGCAGGGGCAGUGUCUGUUUGCUCCAGUUUCUAGAACAGUGUAUUGCUCAGAAAAGAAGAAACAGGCGGCAUUUCUGUCUGGGGGAGUUAGGAAGCGGUUCAUGGUGGAAGAAAUAUUUAAGAAAAGAGAUGUGGUGAGAACAGCCAAAGAAGAAUGAUAAGACGUAGUCAAAAUUGCAUAGCCCUCAAACCUUUGUUGAAAACUCAUUUGUCUAUUUUAGGGAUUCCCAAUACGGUGAUAGACUGAUGGGGAACUAAAUUAACAACAGUUUUGUUGCGUGUGGUCUUUCCAAAGCAGAGUUUCAUGCUUUCUUCAAUAGUGAGGUACUGCUCAUGCCAAAAUAACCAGUUCCUGUUGCGUGUAAUAUCAGUGACUCCUCAUUUAACCUGAGCUCCUAACUAGCAGGGUGUUUACAUGAAAUAUGGGACAGAAAGAAGGUAGAACAGCAGUAUGAUUAGUGUGAAGGCUUAACCAGCCAGAGAGAUCUGGUUAGAAUCUGCUAUGCUGCUUUGCAGCCAUGCCAUAAGAGGUAUUCUUCCAUGAUUUUUAAUUAUGUAUUUUUCAUACACUCAUUUAUUAACAUUUAAUUUAGUCUAAUAGAUGAAAUUGUAAGAGGAUGGGGACUUUGUCUAGAGCCGCCCCCACCAAAAUCUGUCUCUAAUCUGAACCAAUGCCUGGCAGACAGUGGUCACCCAGGAAAUAAUUGUGGAGUGAAAAACCAUGGAACAUAACGCCCUCCAUUUCAUAGAAUAGCCAGGAUUAAAUAUGAUAAUGCAUUUACUGAUUAUUUUAAUUAUAAUGCAUUUGAUUAACUUAGAAUGUUUAAUACACAUAGUGGGUGCUGGAAAGCUGGCUGUCCUUUCAGUUUUUGUUUUUUUAAAUAAUGAAAGUAGUACCAAAAUUCAAGUUCUGCAGGAUGGCUCUCACAUUCUAAUUUAUUAAGCCUCAUCAUUAGCCACUCUCUGUUCUGUAUACAUACCUCAUAAUCUGACCUCAGGACCACCCUUUGUUCCCAGAUAAAUCAGGAAUGUGAGCAUUC
rnacentral:lncRNA from 1 species